GUAGUCUCGCACAGAUGCAUAUCAAUAAGCGGAGGAAAAGAAACUAACAAGGAUUCCCCUAGUAACGGCGAGUGAAGCGGGAAGAGCUCAAAUUUGAAAUCUUAAAGGGUUUCCCUUUACGAAUUGUAGUUUAAAGGAAGUGUUUUCUGUUGAGGUUUUGGUAAAAGUUCUUUGGAAUAGGACAUCAUAGAGGGUGAGAAUCCCGUAUUUGACCUUUACUUUCAACUUUGUGAUACACUUUCAAAGAGUCGGAUUGUUUGGGAAUGCAGUCCAAAAUGGGUGGUAAAUUUCAUCUAAAGCUAAAUAUUGGCGAGAGACCGAUAGCGAACAAGUACCGUGAGGGAAAGAUGAAAAGAACUUUGAAAAGAGAGUUAAACAGUACGUGAAAUUGUCAAAAGGGAAGCGUUUGACACCAGUGUUGUUUUUCUGAAAAUCAAUUAAAGAACUGUUUAUGCUAAGCUGUUUAGACUUUAUCAGCUAACUGUUUAGUUUUGAGCUUUUCUUUAAUGCACUUUUCAGUUAACAAGUCAACAUCAAUUUCUUUUGCUGUAAAAAAGCUUGAGGAAGGUGGCUUGAGAUUCGUCUUAAGUGUUUAUAGCCUCUUGCCUAUGCAGUCGGAGAGAUUGAGGUCUGCAGCGUAGAUCCUUCGGGGCUAAAUGCAUUUGUGCUAAGUUAUAGCAUUUUAUAGACAACUUGUUGACUAUGAUUUGUCUUGUAGCUUACUCGCUUAUGUUAUUUUACCUACGCUUAGGAUGUUGAAGACUCUACAGAGAUA
rnacentral:rRNA from 1 species